UCAUGGAGCAUAAUAAAAUUAAUU
rnacentral:piRNA from 1 species